rnacentral:snRNA from 1 species
GGACACAGGUCGUUCAACGACGG